rnacentral:sRNA from 1 species
UUAAAACACUGUUCUCGUUCGUAAUAAAGUCUUUCGUAUUUCGUGAUACUAUUAAUACGGGUUAUAAAAAAACGAAAAUAGGAAAUAAACUACCAAAUCUAAUAAUAUAUUAUUUAAAUAAAUUGGGAGAAUAUAUCCGAAAUAUGGACGGAGGGCAGAUAAACUCUGUUAGUAUUUUAACCUUGGUUUUCAUACAAUUAAUACUUUUUUGGUUAAAUCUAAUUAUAGGCUUUAGUUUUUAUAUAGGUAUUAUUAAUAUGGAAUACGUUAUUUGCGCUAUAAUAAUAAAUAUUAAUAAAAAUGAAGAAAUAUCCCGCCGGUUAACGUGCGGAUAACCUCCAAUCGGAAAAAGGUUAAAUGGAACUCGCCUAAUUGCAAUUUGCAGGCAUUUAAACAAAGGGCAGUAGCCGCAUUUUAGUACCUUAGCAAACUACGGUAAAUAACGUUAUAACGUUCACUUUUAUUACUAGUUUUGCAAAAUAUGGCGUGUAACGGGUAUUGCGGUUUAGUUCCGUUUUCUAUAAAUAUAAACGAGGCGAUAAUUGCAAUUAAAAAACCCGCUCGCGUAUUUGGUCCCCGAAAUUAUAUUUUCUAUUAUAUUACGCGAAACUUUUUAUAUUAUUCCACGUCCUGCCCAGUUUUUUAAUUACCAUCGAACCCAAAUUUAUUUACUAUUUAAAUUAUACCAAAUAACUACCAUAAACCACAUAUAACAAAAAAUAUUUUCGAACGGAUUAAAUGGCCAGGACCACGGCGGAUCUGGCGGGAAUUUAUCUGGAUAAAACCAAAUCCUGUUUUAAACCUCCGUUAUCGGUAUAAUUUAUUAAAAUUCUCCGGUAAAAACUUUAUACUGCCCAAUAUUUCAAAUUUCAAAUUUACAAAAUAACCACAGUCCAGAUACCCGUUUAACACAUUGUUUUGGACAGUUUAAAAAAGGCACCUCGUCCUUUUCGUCCUCCCGGACAAACCGCAGUAAUAGCAACCGCUAUAACCAUUCGUCUGCUAAAUUUAAAAAUGGACGUUAAAAAAAAGAACAGUUGUAAAAAAAUUCGCAAUUUAAGGCGAUCCAGCAAAUUCGGCACAAUGUUUUAAUAAAACGGUUUUUUAUAUUAACCGCUGGUACCACGCCUUAGAUCUCAAACAGAUAUAUCCGCUUUAAAAGACCGUUAACUUUGUCGAAUAGUCGAAAAUUCCAAUUGUUUAUAACCUGCCAGGAGCCUUUGAAUUUCAAACGUUUACGCAAUAUGGUUUAAUAUAUUCAUAUAACAGGAAUUAUAUCGCUGCAAUAGGGUUUUUGGAUAAUUAAUUACAAAAAUCUCAAAACCCGAUUUUGUUGCAUUAAAACCUUUUUCUUUAGCUUGUAGAUAAAGUUUCAAAAUUAACAAACGGAAUA